AACGAACGCUGGCGGCAGGCUUAACACAUGCAAGUCGAACGCCCCGCAAGGGGAGUGGCAGACGGGUGAGUAACGCGUGGGAACGUACCCUUUACUACGGAAUAACUCAGGGAAACUUGUGCUAAUACCGUAUGUGCCCUACGGGGGAAAGAUUUAUCGGUAAAGGAUCGGCCCGCGUUGGAUUAGCUAGUUGGUGGGGUAAAGGCCUACCAAGGCGACGAUCCAUAGCUGGUCUGAGAGGAUGAUCAGCCACAUUGGGACUGAGACACGGCCCAAACUCCUACGGGAGGCAGCAGUGGGGAAUAUUGGACAAUGGGCGCAAGCCUGAUCCAGCCAUGCCGUGUGAGUGAUGAAGGUCUUAGGAUUGUAAAGCUCUUUCACCGAUGAAGAUAAUGACGGUAGUCGGAGAAGAAGCCCCGGCUAACUUCGUGCCAGCCGCCGCGGUAAGAC
rnacentral:rRNA from 1 species